UACGUAGGGCGCGAGCGUUGUCCGGAAUUAUUGGGCGUAAAGAGCUCGUAGGCGGCCUGUUGCGUCCGCUGUGAAAUCCCGGGGCUCAACCCUGGGCGUGCAGUGGAUACGGGCAGGCUGGAGGCAGGCAGGGGAGAACGGAAUUCCUGGUGUAGCGGUGAAAUGCGCAGAUAUCAGGAGGAACACCGGUGGCGAAGGCGGUUCUCUGGGCCUGUACUGACGCUGAGGAACGAAAGCGUGGGGAGCGAACAGG
rnacentral:rRNA from 1 species